rnacentral:tRNA from 1 species
GCCGCAGUAGCUCAAAGGUAGAGCCUUCUGCUUUCGGAGGGGUAUAUGCAGAUGAAACGCCCUCGAUCCUGGUUCAACCCCAGGCUGCGGUA